GGGGUUUUGCUUUUGUUUCUGCAGGAGAAGAAAAGCUAUGGAUACCAACAAAAUUAAUAAAAAUUUGAUAUGAACAGGAGAAACCCCUUGAUGAGAAGAAGAAAAAGCUCAUCCACUGAUGUGACAUCUCUAUAAGUUCACUGAUUUGAUCCGGAGAGAAUGUUGGGCUUCUAAGACAUUUCUGUUUGCAAGUUUGUCUUCUUGGCAAAAAAAUUGGCUUGCUGGGCAAAGAACUGCCCUUGCCUCUACUGUUGACAGUAUGAAUACUGUCCCUUUGGAAUGAGCAAGAUACAAGAAUAAGCGACUACUGAACUCUGCCAAGACUGGAUAAACUACAUGGAAUUGCCACUAUAUUCCUGUUUCACAGAAGAAACUGCCAGACAUUCUGCAGGACACAGAGGAAAGCAACUGAUGAGCAUUGCCACAAUAAGGCAGUACAGUCCAAAAUUCUUUCUUCAUAAAAAAGUCUGCUAGAUAACCUAGGCCUGUAGUCUAAAGAUGGAUGCCCCAAUGUUACAGAGGAACUUUGGAUGAUUGUCCAGGCAGCCAGAUUUCUUUGUUGUUAGAUAAUAUUACAUCCUUCUGGGUCUUUGAUGGAGUUGAAGACUAAAUAAUUAUAAUUGCAAUUUUCUUAGUUAUGAUAGAUAAUAAAUUAGAUAUAAAACUUUAGAUUCACUAAGAUAGAAUAGAUAAUGCAUUAUUUUCUCUAAAUAUGCUAACUAUAAGUGGGCAGAAUAUUAUGAAUGUAAUCCUUACCUGAUAAUUGUUAUUGUAUAUAAUCUUACUAUGUUUAAAUUAAAACCCUUCUAUUUUUUUAUUUAGACAAAAAGAGGGAA